rnacentral:misc_RNA from 1 species
AAAUCCUGUGACUUUAUUAAGGCCAGUAGCCAGUGGCGGAAAGUUCAGGACCGCUUAGAAGCUGAUGAAAGAUGCCCCCGCCUUGAGAAAAUUGACCGCUUGGAGAUUUUCCAGGAAUAUAUACGUGAUUUAGAGAGGGAAGAGGAGGAGCAAAGGAAACUGCGGAUGGAAGAAUUGAGGAAAGCUGAACGUAAAAAUCGUGAUGAAUUCCGAAAACUGAUGGAAGAGCAUGUUGCUGUGGGAAUGCUUAAUGCAAAAACUAUCUGGCGUGAUUAUUGCAUCAAAAUCAAAGAUAUAGCUGCAUAUCAGGCUGUCUCAUCAAAUACUUCAGGGUCAUCAGCAAAAGACUUAUUUGCAGAUGUCGUGGAUGAGCUAGAUAAACAGUAUCUUGAUGACAAGUCACGAAUUAGAGAUGCAGUUAGGAUGACCGAGAUUGGGCUGACAUCAAGA